rnacentral:rRNA from 1 species
UACGUAGGGGUGCGAGCGUUGUCCGGAAUUAUUGGGCGUAAAGGGCUCGUAGGCGGUUUGUCGCGUCGGGAGUGAAAACUCAGGGCUUAACCCUGAGCCUGCUUCCGAUACGGGCAGACUAGAGGUAUGCAGGGGAGAAUGGAAUUCCUGGUGUAGCGGUGAAAUGCGCAGAUAUCAGGAGGAACACCGGUGGCGAAGGCGGUUCUCUGGGCAUUACCUGACGCUGAGGAGCGAAAGUGUGGGGAGCGAACAGG